UACAGAGGUCUCAAGCGUUGUUCGGAUUCAUUGGGCGUAAAGGGUGCGUAGGCGGCGCGGUAAGUCGGGUGUGAAAUCUCGGAGCUUAACUCCGAAACUGCAUUCGAUACUGCCCUGCUUGAGGACUGGAGAGGAGACUGGAAUUUACGGUGUAGCAGUGAAAUGCGCAGAUAUCAGGAGGAACACCGGUGGCGAAGGCGGAUCUCUGGGCCUUACCUGACGCUGAGGCGCGAAAGCUAGGGGAGCGAACAGG
rnacentral:rRNA from 1 species